CGCCGGAAGUGGUUCACUGGCCAUGGUGAUGAGCUAGCCUACUCCCCCGUACAGUUUUCAAUUAGAUGCGAACGGUUUCGACUGUGAACGGCGACUAGCGGGCGGCGAUCGGCGGGUGGGCUCGAUGGUGCGGUGCUCGGCGGGGGAUUCACUCGCUUCCCUGUCCAUCUCCCUCCCGUCCUCUCGUGUGACCUGGUGGCCUACAAUGGCGGCGGGGGCGGAGCGUACUACGAUUUCGACUGCGGUGGCGACCCCUCCCAAAUCCACCCCACUGUUGUGUCAGCGAAGGCUCCUGUGACAGCCAAUUUCACCGGAGAAUACGUCUGUGACAGCCCUCCUCUGUAAUGGCGGUACUGCAAAAAGGGGCUUCUGAUGGGGGAGAUCAAGAAGAGGUUGUACCUUGUCCAUGGAAAUGGGAUGGCACCAUGUCAAUGGAGGAAAAGAAUGCCAUGUCAAUGGCAAAGAGGAAGAGGAGCAAAAGGCUCCUGAGGAGGAGGAAGAACACAAGACAAGAUUAUCUUAUUUGAUCCAGCCAAGGGUUACUCGAAUGGCUAGACAUGGCUAUAGGCUCUCGAGUAAACUGGGCACUGACCUGCAAAAGCUGCGUUGCAAUAAAUUACCUUUGUAUUAGAUUUACUGAUCUAAUACAGUUUAUCAAUUUAAGUUCUCCCCUCAUCUUCUUUGUUGCAACUUGCAACUCUGGAUUUCUUUAAGUACAAGUUUUAGACCAUCCACAAAGUAUAACAUCCAAAACUCCCUCAAAAUAUGACACUUACCUGACUUCUUUCAUGACAACAGGAAACAUACUUAUAGACAACUCAAAUACAAAAGUGUGAUCACAGAUUGAAAAAUUAUCUUUAAUUGUUUGCCGCUCCCAAAUUCUCCUCAUGGAGAACCAAUAUUUCAACAUUUCCAUUUUCAGGUUAUUCCCUGCAUAUAUUCGUUUGGAAAGAAUGAAGGAUGGUUUUUAUGGUAGUUCAGCUAAUGCCAUUAAAAUUUAGUGAUUAGUAUUUAACUGCCUCUCAGAUCCAGCCAUUACAAUUUUUAUCCAGUCUCCCUUUUGAUCCAGCCAUGACAACAUUUCGAUGUGCUCUUGUGUCUUGAUGGAAGAACAUGGUAUGAAGCAAUGGUGUCCCCAUGCAUAACAAAUCAAUUGGUUUAAACUACAGAUCUUUCUAUUAGUGCAUAAUGCAGAAACGAUGUACGUAUUGUUUUUCUGUACUUGUAAAAGAACUUGUCAUGUUCCUCUGAUUAUUUCAGGUGUUUGCUUUUACAAGUCAAUCAGUACGUAUGAUUUGAGGGAUUAUAUUAGAUAUAGUGAAUCAGAAAUAUGUUUAAGUUCAAUUUAAUUUUUAGAUCAUAUAACUUGUCUCAUAUUUCUGAAAUGAGCAAUCUUAUUCUUCAACUUGCAGAUUUUGUACCGGCUAAAUGUUAUUUUCUUUGGCAAGUUCUUGUACUGUUUCCUAAUUCUCACGGAGAUGUUGUGGUUUCUUGCUGAUCCAGUUCCAAAAGAAUGUAUAUAUCUCCAUCUAGUGUUGUUUCUUGCUGUGGUUUGCUUAAAUAUUUUUCUUCAGUUAUGUAAUCUGUUCUCCUUUUCCUUGUGUGGCUGGCCAUUUUUUUAGAAAACAGGCACAAUAAGCGCCCGACUUUAAAUUAUUAAAGCAAAGAACGGCCAGAGUACCACAUUGUUGAACAGAACAAAACGGAAAAGCUGGCCACUGGCACACUUGGGAAAGCUUAUCAUUAUUAUAGAUGGUCCUUCCCAGUUCUCUACGCGUGUUGUUAUCUUGUUGGGAAGCAGGGCAGGGAUGGAACAAGACAACAACAUAUUGCUUCAUAUUUGAUUUUAUUCGACUCGCUUUUUGCUUCAUGUCUUAACCUCCUUUGAGCACCUGUUGGUUCCAUUUUGUGCAGCUGCUGAUGUAAAGGAAUGCAGUGCUAAGCAAAGCGAUAUGAUCAUCAUAUCAAGUGGGCAUCGAUGCCAUUAUGUAGUUUCUCUUGUCAGGGUAUACCACGUGCGGAUUAUAAUUAUCUCAUUUGAAUUGUAUGCACACAAAGCUUCACAUGUUAGUACUGGUAUAUACAAAGACUGUACUCUAUGGUGGCCUAUUUGUGAUGCUGCAUGAUUUUCUAGGCACAUUAAGCCUUCUUUGCGAUUCCCUUACAAUCACCUCGGAACAUGCUUGUUGCUAAUGAAAA